UGGGAGGACCAUCUCCUAAGGCUAAAUACUCUCUAGUGACCGAUAGUGAACCAGUACCGUGAGGGAAAGGUGAAAAGCACCCCGGAAGGGGAGUGAAAUAGAACCUGAAACCGUGUGCUUACAAGUAGUCAGAGCCCGUUAAUGGGUGAUGGCGUGCCUUUUGUAGAAUGAACCGGCGAGUUACGAUUUGAUGCAAGGUUAAGCAGUAAAUGUGGAGCCGUAGCGAAAGCGAGUCUGAAUAGGGCGUUUAGUAUUUGGUCGUAGACCCGAAACCAGGUGAUCUACCCUUGGUCAGGUUGAAGUUCAGGUAACACUGAAUGGAGGACCGAACCGACUUACGUUGAAAAGUGAGCGGAUGAACUGAGGGUAGCGGAGAAAUUCCAAUCGAACCUGGAGAUAGCUGGUUCUCUCCGAAAUAGCUUUAGGGCUAGCCUCAAGUGAUGAUUAUUGGAGGUAGAGCACUGUUUGGACGAGGGGCCCCUCUCGGGUUACCGAAUUCAGACAAACUCCGAAUGCCAAUUAAUUUAACUUGGGAGUCAGAACAUGGGUGAUAAGGUCCGUGUUCGAAAGGGAAACAGCCCAGACCACCAGCUAAGGUCCCAAAAUAUAUGUUAAGUGGAAAAGGAUGUGGCGUUGCCCAGACAACUAGGAUGUUGGCUUAGAAGCAGCCAUCAUUUAAAGAGUGCGUAAUAGCUCACUAGUCGAGUGACACUGCGCCGAAAAUGUACCGGGGCUAAACAUAUUACCGAAGCUGUGGAUUGUCCUUUGGACAAUGGUAGGAGAGCGUUCUAAGGGCGUUGAAGCAUGAUCGUAAGGACAUGUGGAGCGCUUAGAAGUGAGAAUGCCGGUGUGAGUAGCGAAAGACGGGUGAGAAUCCCGUCCACCGAUUGACUAAGGUUUCCAGAGGAAGGCUCGUCCGCUCUGGGUUAGUCGGGUCCUAAGCUGAGGCCGACAGGCGUAGGCGAUGGAUAACAGGUUGAUAUUCCUGUACCACCUAUAAUCGUUUUAAUCGAUGGGGGGACGCAGUAGGAUAGGCGAAGCGUG
rnacentral:rRNA from 1 species